rnacentral:other from 2 species
AUAUCCCUGCUGUGCACGUUGGAAAUUUGAUAAUUUUUGAACCAACAAAAAUAUCAAGGGAGCCCGUAUUCCCGGAUACUUAGGUAUCUGAGAGAAGGCACCCACUUAAAACUAAACUGGUUCAAGCUAUUCAGUCCAACGGCACAAUGCGGGGAUUUU